CAGGAAAUGUACAGAUGCUUCUGUUUAGCACAGCUCUGCAGAGCUCACCAAAUUGUGCAUCAGCUACAGGCAGCAGGAGAUCACUCAGUUAUUUUUUCAGUGUUUUUCCAUAUGUCUCAGAAAGAGGCUGAUAAUAUUUUGCAGUGUCCUUAGAGAAUUCAUCUCUGAGGUCUAGGUAUCUCCUCUGGUACCACAAAGGAAAUACUGUAUUAUUGGGUCCCAGCAGUGCAGAGAGCAGUCAGCAUCCCAUCAUUUCCUGUUGCUGUCACUUGCUGCAGAGAAGCGGCGCUGACAGGUUACUGUAGAGAGCAGAGAGCUGUUGGAACAACCAAAGAACCCAAGAUGCAAAAAGGACUGUAACAAGGAAGAAGCCCCUGAGGUGACCAGAGCCUGACAAAGGAAGCAGACUGAUGAAAGGCUCAAGGACUCUGCUUUGCAUUCUGCUCUCAUCCCGAGAAUCCUACAGAGACUAGCUGUGAAGGAUCCUGGGAAGAUGCGCCCUGUUUCUGAAUGAAGAGCAGCUCUUUCCAUUUACAGCCACUUCAGUUCGUUUCCCUACAUAAGCACAAAAAUAACCAUUUUGGAGGGGGAGGGGGAGCAAAAAAAAGCUCCCAGAAUUAUCUCAGGGAAAUAAAGCCAGGUGCCCAUCUUUGCAUUAUAUCCAAAUGAGAUGCAGCUGUUUAAAUACUUCCCAGACCUAUCAGUCCUGCAAAGAAUCUGUUCUGCUGUGGAUCAGGGUGGCUCACUUGAGGGGAAUGAGCAAUAACAUUUAUGAGACACAGAUACUCACAUAUUUGCAUUUAAAAUGGAUCCUCAGCUUGAAAACUCUUGAUUUUACUCAUGCUGCUGCCUCAGCUGGAGAAAGAAUCAUUCUCCUCAAGGCUUGA
rnacentral:lncRNA from 1 species